rnacentral:rRNA from 1 species
AACGAACGCUGGCGGCAUGCCUAACACAUGCAAGUCGAACGAGACCUUCGGGUCUAGUGGCGCACGGGUGCGUAACGCGUGGGAACCUGCCCUUAGGUUCGGAAUAACUCCCCGAAAGGGGUGCUAAUACCGGAUAAUGUCUUCGGACCAAAGAUUUAUCGCCUUUGGAUGGGCCCGCGUUGGAUUAGCUAGUUGGUAGGGUAAAAGCCUACCAAGGCGACGAUCCAUAGCUGGUCUGAGAGGAUGAUCAGCCACACUGGGACUGAGAAACGGCCCAGAAUCCUACGGGAGGCAGGAGUGGGGAAUAUUGGAAAAUGGGCGAAAGCCUGAUCCAGCAAUGCCGGGUGAGUGAUGAAGGCCUUAGGGUUGUAAAGCUCUUUUAACCGGGAUGAUAAUGACAGUACCGGGAGAAUAAGCUCCGGCUAACUACGUG